UUGCAAUGAGUAGAUCUAGUAAUAUAUAGAUUAAAUUUAGUUUGAAAUUGUUACAGUAGUGCUACUACUUUUCUAAGUAGUAAGUAGUGUAGACUACUAGAAGAGCAAGAUGAUAGAUCUCCAUCAAGCUACAAUAGAGUUUAGUUAGUAGUUAGUUAGUCAUAGUAAUAGUACCAAAAGCAGUGUACUUGGCAAGCAAUUUUCUCACACUUUACUGUGGCUAUUGGUGCUGAUCUUGAACUAAAGGUAAAUGGAACAGCAUGGAUGUGGAUUUUUAGACACAAGGAAGCUGAAUUUAACUUUUAAUGAAGAAUUUAAAUGAUGAUUGUCCAUGAAAAGAAAUAUUAAUCAUAUACAUUGUAAUGCUGUAUUGAUGCAUCUUCUGUUUUAAGUAAUUAAAAAACCAUCCAUUUAUGAAAUUAUUUUCAUUUUU